ACCCGUAGCAGAUAGCUCAGUAACACGUGGCCAAACUACCCUAUGGAUCCGAAUAACCUCGGGAAACUGAGGCUAAUUCGGAAUACGAUUCCCACGCUGGAACUGCGGGGAAUCCGAAACGUUACGGCGCCAUAGGAUGUGGCUGCGGCCGAUUAGGUAGACGGUGGGGUAACGGCCCACCGUGCCGAUAAUCGGUACGGGUUGUGAGAGCAAGAGCCCGGAGACGGUAUCUGAGACAAGAUACCGGGCCCUACGGGGCGCAGCAGGCGCGAAACCUUUACACUGCACGCGAGUGCGAUAAGGGGACUCCAAGUGCGAGGGCAUAUCGUCCUCGCUUUUCGCGACCGUAAGGUGGUCGCAGAAUAAGUGCUGGGCAAGACCGGUGCCAGCCGCCGCGGUAAUACCGGCAGCACGAGUGAUGACCGCUAUUAUUGGGCCUAAAGCGUCCGUAGCUGGCCGUGCAAGUCCAUCGGGAAAUCCGCGCGCUUAACGCGCGGGCGUCCGGUGGAAACUGCACGGCUUGGGACCGGAAGACCAGAGGGGUACGUCCGGGGUAGGAGUGAAAUCCCGUAAUCCUGGACGGACCACCGGUGGCGAAAGC
rnacentral:rRNA from 1 species